rfam:Cavia porcellus supercont2_165 genomic scaffold, whole genome shotgun sequence.
GGGGAUUUAGCUCAGUGGCACAGCACCUGUCUGGCAAGCAUGAGGUCCUGAGUUUGGUUCCCAGUAUACCCC